rnacentral:rRNA from 1 species
UACGAAGGGGGCUAGCGUUGCUCGGAAUGACUGGGCGUAAAGGGCUCGUAGGUGGCCAACUAAGUCAGACGUGAAAUCCCUCAGCUUAACUGGGGAACUGCGUCUGAUACUGGAUGGCUUGAGAUUGGGAGAGGGAUGCGGAAUUCCAGGUGUAGCGGUGAAAUGCGUAGAUAUCUGGAGGAACACCGGUGGCGAAGGCGGCAUCCUGGACCAACACUGACACUGAGGAGCGAAAGCCAGGGGAGCAAACGGG